rnacentral:lncRNA from 1 species
AAUUGAUAAAGGCAAGUUGCAAAGAGAAGGUGUGUGUUUGCCCCACUCCACUCCUCACAAUCACAACACAUAAAUAAUAAAAAACAAUAAUAAUACACAAAUCUUCUUCUUAAAAAGUUUCCGCAAUUCACAUUCUUCUUUUUUCUCGUAACUCUCCAAAAUUCAUCAUCAUUACACACAAAAACACAAACGUUAUGUAACUGCAAAACGAGAUUCCACACUCUCCUCUCCUCUUAGUCAAAGAGCUUCAUGCCGAUGGUGUGACCAACCCCAAAAACAAAAAAUAAAAUACAAAAAAGUUAGUCCUUCACAUGUUUCUUAAGUUUCAAGCAUUGAUUUGUUUUUAUUUUUUCCCUUUUAUAAAUAGUUUACCACUUAUCUUCAAUCUUUAUUCAUAAUAUCUAUCAAAAGAUUUAUUUCCCUUUUGAAAAAAAGGAUUUGGUUUCCUUUCUUGUUAGCUUUUUUAUUUCCUAUCUUUGGUUCAUCAUUUUGGUUUAUGUGUGUUCUUUGUAUUUAGAUGGUCAAAGUGAGGAAUUGGGACAAGAAGUGAAGAAAGAACACAAGAUCAUGUUUCUUCUUCUUCUUCUUCUUCUUCUAAGUCACUAAAGAGAGAUAGAGAGAGAAGAGAUUUAUCCAAAAAAAAACUUUUUUGUAAUCAUCAUUUCUUGAGAGUUUAAUAAUGCCAGUCCCUCUUGCACCAUAUCCAACUCCUCCGGCUCCGGUGAUGGCGCCGCCGUAUGCUCCUCCGCCGACACAUGGUAAAAAACAAAAAAAAUCCUCUGUUUUCAGUUUCUUUAACAAAUGUUUUUUUAUAUAGAAGAAGAUUACUUUUUUGUUUCAUUGAUUCUUUGAAAGAUCAAUUUUUAUUUGUUACCACAUGUGUUCGUUCAUAAUUAAAUUUGGUCAAAAAGUACAUAAAACACUUUGAGAUUUGUAGGAGGGAGUACAAGUGGACAGAGCCAGUUAGUGUGUUCAGGUUGCAGAAACCUUCUGAUGUACCCGGCCGGAGCAACCUCUGUCUGUUGCGCUGUCUGUAACGCCGUCACGGCCGUUCCUCCGCCGGGUAAUUAUUUUUUUCAAAUCAUCAUAAAACAAAAAUAGUUUGGUUAAAGAGUGUUUUGUAAUAAUCGAUUGGGGGCAAUGUAGGAACGGAGAUGGCACAGUUGGUCUGUGGAGGAUGUCACACUCUUCUUAUGUACAUUCGUGGAGCUACAAGUGUUCAGUGUUCUUGUUGUCACACUGUUAAUCUCGCCCUCGAAGGUUUGCAUUAGAUAUAUAAAUUAUUUACAUGCAUAUUGAUCGAUCUUUGCUGUUUAAUUAAAUAUGAUUUUUGAUUGAUUUUUUUUUUUGGGGUUUAAGGAAUAUAAGUAACAAAUAAAACCGUUUUAAAACUAGUUUUACGAUUGAUUUCGUUAUUUAUUAAAUUAUAUUAUAUGUCGGUUUUAUCAACAACAUGCGGAUUUAAACUCAUAUUAUUUAAUAUUAUAUUAUAUCUCUGGGCUAGUUUAUUAUUUGUUGUUAUUCAAAACUUUAAAAGAAAAAUUACUUUUAGUUUUGGUUUUUGGUUUUUAUGAUAAAACAAGUUUUGUUUACAUGUGGGUCAAGUUUAGUUUUAGGUUUUGAGAUAUGAAUAAGAGAAAUAAAAACUAUUAUGAGAGAAAAUGGUCUAACUCUCUUAUUAUGUUCUUGCAUGUGUGUAUUCAGCCAAUCAAGUGGCACAUGUGAACUGUGGAAACUGCAGGAUGCUAUUGAUGUAUCAAUACGGAGCAAGAUCUGUGAAAUGUGCCGUUUGUAACUUUGUUACAUCCGUUAUUGGGGUUAGUCCUCGGUAUCACCCAAAAGAACACCAAAUUAUCUCUUCCUCUUCUUUACAUGAGAAUGCUUCUUUAUAUAAUAAUGUUUUUGAUAAUGCUUUUGUAGGGUUCUUCGAGCACGACUCCUGAUGUGAAGUUUAACAACUAAAACUUGGACCAAACCUAUCAAAUAUAUAUUGAGUUAUGAGCAAUAUAUAGAGGAAGAAUCAAAUCUUUUGUUAUGUCUCUCUUCGAUCAAGAAUCCGGCGGUGUGAUGUUUUCAGAAGUAAAUAAUAAAAAAAAUAUGUAAUCUGUCGAAACUUAUGUGACUUUGGCCUCUUUGUUCGUUUGUAUAGGGCUAUCUAUCUAUCUAUUUAUCUGUCUAUCUAUCUCUCUUAAGUUUCUUUGUCUUUUCUUCUUUGUCUUUUGUUUCUCUUAAGUAAAAAUGUAUUCACCAGUUUGUAAGAGUAAUUCAUAAAUCAAAAAGCUAAAAUUUUAUGGUGAAGAAAAGAGAUUGUUUUUUUUUUAAUGCUAAUUAAUAUGCAUAUAUGAGUUUUAUUUUCUCUUUUCAAGCAAAAUUGUCAGUUACAAUUAAAUUGUGUUGCAUCUAAAAUAUUUAUUAACUUCUAACUAAACUAUACCACUAAUGUAAGUUCUUUUUUUAAAAAUUAACAUUGAAAUUUUUAGCAAAAUAUUUACUAAAAAACUCUAGAAAUUCAAUUUGAAAAAAAUAAAUCUAAAAUUUUUAAAAACGAAUAUUAGGCUUUGAAUGAAUGUUGCGGAUAAAGUGUACUAAUCCAUAGAUGAUUUAGUUCACUCUAUUCAUAAGAUGAACACCAAUAUACUACAUAUCAAAUUUAUUUAUACGUUAAAACAGUCUAUAGUUGGUCUACUGUGAUUUUUGUUUUUUGGAUAUUUAUCAAUACGAACUAUAAUUUUUAGAAUGACAAUAAAAAAGUGUUUCAAUCAUAAAACAGUUUUUUUCCGUCCCACCAUAACUGUUCGAACUUAGUAUACGUCUAAAUGAAAAAUACAACACGUAAGUAAGAUUAAUUUUGAUGUAUAUGAAUCAAAUAAAACUUAUCCUCUUAAACAAAUAAUUUGAUUCUUUUUGUUGAAUAUUAUCGAAUCUAACAAAGAAGAUGUUUACGGUUCGUACCUAAAAUAACAAAAAAAGUAGGACAAAACAGUACUAGGAACGAAGAUGUAAUAGAUAAAACAGAUUCCAUGCAAAAUCUGUAUGUCUAUGCAUAUAAACAGACUCACGGGUUCACUUACGAUUUGAUCUUUGGUUGGUUUAUAUGUCUUUCGAAUGUCUUUUCGUUUCUUUGGAUCACGGCAAAGACUUAUUGAUGAAACCUUUUGCUUGGAGAAUUGAAAUUUGUUUUUUUUUUUUU